rnacentral:rRNA from 1 species
CAGUAGCCGCGGUAAUACGUAGGUGGCAAGCGUUGUCCGGAAUGAUUGGGCGUAAAGGGCGCGCAGGCGGCUGUGUAAGUCUGUCUAGAAAGUGCCGGGCUAAACCCCGUGAGAGGAUGGAAACUGGACAGCUGAGAGUGUCGGAGAGGAAAGCGGAAUUCCUAGUGUAGCAGUGAAAUGCGUAGAUAUUAGGAGGAACACCGGUGGCGAAAGCGGCUUUCUGGACGACAACUGACGCUGAGGCGCGAAAGCCAGGGGAGCAAACGGGAUUAGAUACCCGAGUAGUCCCUGUCUCUUAUAC